rnacentral:SRP_RNA from 1 species
AGCCGGGUCCUGCGCAAUAGCGGCUUGCGAAUCCCGCCAGGUCCGGGAGGAAGCAACGGUAGCGAGUACCGUUAUGUGUUCCAGGGGUGCCCGGCUAUC